GCGCCCUCUGUCGGAGCUGGUUAAUCGAUUGAGCGGUGAGCGAUCCAGGGAUCAGGAUGUAUCGAUGAGGAUCGAUUAACCGCGUCUGAUCGAGGGGAAAUGGAAGUCUGCAGGCGGAGGAUAAGAGAUUCAUCGAUGAAUGUGGAACUUUGGUUUUGUCUGUGAGGAAACGUUUUAAGGGAAAUGUCUUUAUGAACGUCAAAUUAUCGUGACAAAGAAGAGGCAGAUUUCUAUCAAAUUUAAAUAUAUAGAUUUGAUCCGAUGAGAAGCUACAGCCAGUACAGCGAACAGACCGAAAACACCAACAACCUUCAUCCCAGAGCUGUGUCUCCUCAGCCUGUGACUGCUGCACUACAGCAUGUAGACAGCAGUGCAUUCUCCUGCAGCUUUUGCAAAUGAAAAUGGAGGACGUGUCUCUGUCCAGUAUGGACAACAGUAAGAUGGAGGGCUUUGUUCAAGAGAUCCUGUCUGACCUGGUGGAAGACGCCUGUUUGGGUCUUUGUUUUGAGGUGCACAGGGCUGUCAAACAAGGAUACUUUUUCUUGGAUGAUACAGACCAGGAUAGUAUGAAGGACUUUGAAAUUGUGGACCAGCCUGGAGUAGACAUUUUUGGGCAAGUGUACAACCAGUGGAAAAACAAAGAGUGUGUGUGUCCCAACUGCAGCCGCAGCAUUGCUGCGUCUCGCUUUGCACCACACCUGGAGAAAUGCCUCGGGAUGGGCCGCAACAGCAGUCGUAUUGCCAACCGCAGAAUUGCAAGCGGCAACAACACAAACAAAUCAGAGAGCGAUCAAGAGGACAAUGAUGAUGUAAACGACAAUGAUUGGUCUUAUGGCGCAGAAAAGAAAGCCAAGAAGAGAAAGUCAGAUAAGGUAUUUUUACAUUCUUUGAAACAACCUGUACCUUUGAAUCCAAAUUCACCAAGAAGAUCCAAAUCGAUGAAACAUAAAAAUGCCUGAUGCCUCUGGUUGAUACGUGUCGCUGACGAGAGCCGCAAUUUUCUCAGAUGCUUUGCUGGGUCCUAAGCACCGCAUGGAGAACCAAGAUAGCUCCUGCGUGUUGCUAAGAGACGAGACAUUUUCUCAAUAAUGCUGUUGGAAGCAAAAGUCACUUGAUCGCAGCAUUGCGUGAGCUGAAUUAUGCUGAUCAACGGCGGAGACAUGGACUAAUUCUUCUGACAUUGAGUUUACAUUUUACUUUUUUUUUCUUAUUUGUUACUUCUUUUUUUUCUUCAGGAAUAUUUGCACAUGGCUGGUCUCUUUAAAAUGACACGUUUAGGAUAGAGGAACUUGCGUAAUUCUCUCAGGGAGGAAGUUCAAACUCGUCAUCCUAUCAGCAGACAGAAACAGCUGAGCAUAGAGUCACAGAUGCUGGGCCUCUCCCAUAACAAAGAGACAGUAUUCUUUCUAAAAUAAAAAUUCUAACAAUGUAUACCUUCUCAUAUCUGUGCCCUCUUAUUCUAGGGCAUUUUGAAGCAAUUAAAAUAAAUUGGGCAUGGUUAUUAGCAUGCACAUCCAGAUUAGUAAUCCAUGUCAACAAUUUCCCAUCAGGUUACUUAUUGUACUGUUUGAUAUUAUUGAAUUGUAUUGAAAAUCACGAUCUAGUAAAAUAUAUUCUUUUCUCUGUAGUUCCAAUAGCCAAAGUGUGGUACAAUUGUACUGUAUGUUACUCUAGUCCUCUAGCACAUCAUCAUCAUACUACAUUUUUUCCAUUGGUAAAUUAUUGGUUACAGAGAGAACAGAGGUUGGUAGUCUCCAAAAAAAAAAAAGAUCUGAUCAUGGCAUGAGUGUCUUUAUCAGUGUAAUUGUUUUCUUUUUGUAUUUCUUAUGUAUUAGAUGUUUACAGUGGAAUGUGUCCUGUGCGGUCUCACAUUGUGUAAAACUGUAUAUAUUUGACUAGAUGAAAAAUGCUGCUAUCCUCACCAUGAGUCAUUAUCUUAUGGGCAUGUAAUAAAAGAUCUCAGAACAUG